rnacentral:misc_RNA from 1 species
AUACAACAGAGGGUGCAUCGGAUGUGGGUGACAUGAGGGGUCAGUAGCACAGAUGAGUCUUUGAAAUAAUUUAAGGUUUUUGUUAGAGAUGGAGAAGGGUAUCCAAAAAAAUCCUAAGAUUUGUUCCCAUCCCUUUUUUCUUCCUCUCUCUUUCAUUUUUAAUCGUUUUAUGAUGUUGUGUUGGAUCAAGUUUGUAGCUUGUUCCUAUGAUUUGAGGCUAGCUGCAUUCCUAAUUCCAAGGAACAUGUUGGCUUGAUCCUGAAAUGGAAUGAAAUUAGAAUUCUAGGAUAGAUCUCAAUUCUGUUUUAUUAUUUUGUAUGCUAGGA